UACGUAGGCAGCAAGCGUUGUUCGGAAUUACUGGGCGUAAAGCGCGCGUAGGCGGCCUUGCAAGUUAGAGGUGAAAGCCCGGAGCUCAACUCCGGAACUGCCUUUAAAACUGCAUAGCUUGAAUCCGGGAGAGGUGAGUGGAAUUCCGAGUGUAGAGGUGAAAUUCGUAGAUAUUCGGAAGAACACCAGUGGCGAAGGCGGCUCACUGGACCGGUAUUGACGCUGAGGUGCGAAAGCGUGGGGAGCAAACAGG
rnacentral:rRNA from 1 species